rnacentral:rRNA from 1 species
CUCCGGGGGUCUAGAGGAAGUAAAAGUCGUAACAAGGUUUCCGUAGGUGAACCUGCGGAAGGAUCAUUACUGAAAUGUAACAACUUCUAUUGAAAGGUUCCAGAGUAGGCGCUACAACGCCGAAAUGACCUUCUCACCCUUGUGUACUCACUAUGUUGCUUUGGCGGGUCGACCUGGUUCCGACCCAGGCGGCCGGCGCCCCCAGCCUUAACUGGCCAGGACGCCAGGCGGAGGGCGCCGCCAGCAUACACUAGUCAAGACACUCACUAAGUGAACUCCAGAUACAUCAUUCAAUUAAUUCAUUCUGUCAACUCCGGAUCUAUCGUUUCUGGGAUCGAUGCUGUACGCAGCGAGAUGCGAUAGGUAAUGUGCAUCGCAGAAGAACACUGCAUCAUGGGAUCAGUGAACGCACAUUGCGACUUCAGGGAUUCCGGAGCGCAUGCCUGUUCGACCGCUCAUUUCAACCCUCAAGGUAUGCCCGGUAUUGGGCAAUGUCCUGUGCCGGACGUGCAUUGCGCCCUCCGGGUCGGCGUCGUAUCGUGGAGCGUCCGCUGCCGGACGUGCCUUGAAGACCUCGGCGACGGCGUCCUAGCCUCGAGCGUAGUAGUAAAAUAUCUCGCUUUGAGUGCUGGGCGACGGCCGCCGGACAAUCGACCUUCGGUCUAUUUUUCCAAGGUUGACCUCGGAUCAGGUAGGGAUACCCGCUGAACUUAAGCAUAUCAUAAGG